GCGGAAAUGGCGGAAUUGGUAGACGCACCAGACUUAGGUUCUGGCGCCGUAAGGUGUGAGAGUGCAAGUCUCUCCUUCCGCACCA
rnacentral:tRNA from 1 species